GUAGUGGUAGCUCAGUGGUUAAGCUGUUGGACUACUAAUCAGAAGGUUGUAAGCUCAAAUCCUAACACCACUACA